rnacentral:rRNA from 1 species
UACGUAGGGUGCGAGCGUUGUUCGGAGUUACUGGGCGUAAAGCGUGCGUAGGCGGUGGUCCAAGUCUGGUGUGAAAUCUCCCGGCUUAACUGGGAGGGUGCGCCGGAAACUGGGCCGCUGGAGUACGGGAGAGGCAAGCGGAAUUCCAGGUGUAGCGGUGAAAUGCGUAGAUAUCUGGAGGAACACCCGUGGUGCAGACGGCUUGCUGGACCGUGACUGACGCUGAGGCACGAAAGCGUGGGUAGCAAACAGG